AAGCGCUUGCAAUCAGACUUGCAUGCAGCUGAUCAUCCGAUGUUCUCACCGGUGCACUCAGUUGCAUACAGGCCAGCAUCAGUUUUGGUGGUUGGAUAAAGGCCUAGGGAAUGUAGCUUCUCUCGGGGAGUGUUAUAGCCCAUUGUGUAAUACCCUGUGGUGGACUGAGGUUCGCGCAUCUGCAAGGAUGCUGGCGUAAUGGUCAUCAGCGA
rnacentral:rRNA from 1 species